rnacentral:rRNA from 1 species
UACGGAGGGUGCAAGCGUUAUCCGGAAUUACUGGGUUUAAAGGGUGCGUAGGCGGCUUAGUAAGUCAGGGGUGAAAGGCUACGGCUCAACCGUGGAAUUGCCUUUGAUACUGCUGAGCUUGAAUGAGGUUGAGGUGAGCAGAAUGUGGCAUGUAGCGGUGAAAUGCAUAGAUAUGCCAUAGAAUACCGAUUGCGAAGGCAGCUCACUGGACCUGAAUUGACGCUGAGGCACGAAAGCGUGGGGAGCGAACAGGAUUAGAAACCCCCGUAGUCC